rnacentral:rRNA from 1 species
UACAGAGGGUGCAAGCGUUAAUCGGAAUUACUGGGCGUAAAGCGCGCGUAGGUGGUUUGUUAAGUUGGAUGUGAAAUCCCCGGGCUCAACCUGGGAACUGGCAUUCAAAACUGACAAGCUAGAGUAUGGUAGAGGGUGGUGGAAUUCCUGGUGUAGCGGUGAAAUGCGUAGAUAUAGGAAGGACACCAGUGGCGAAGGCGACCACCUGGACUGAUACUGACACUGAGGUGCGAAGCGUGGG